rnacentral:rRNA from 1 species
UAGGGAAUCUUCGGCAAUGGGGGGAACCCUGACCGAGCAACGCCGCGUGAGUGAAGAAGGAUUUCGGAUCGUAAAGCUCUGUUGUUAAGGAAGAACGAGUGUGAGAAUGGAAAGUUCAUGCUGUGACGGUACUUAACCAGAAAGGGACGGCUAACUACGUGCCAGCAGCCGCGGUAAUACGUAGGUGGCAAGCGUUGUCCGGAUUUAUUGGAGGUAAAGCGAGCGCAGGCGGUCAAUUAAGUCUGGUGUGAAAGCCCCCGGCUCAACCGGGGAGGGUCAUUGGAAACUGGUUGACUUGAGUGCAGAAGAGGGGAGUGGAAUUCCAUGUGUAGCGGUGAAAUGCGUAGAUAAAUGGAGGAACACCAGUGGCGAAGGCGACUCUCUGGUCUGUAACUGACGCUGAGGCUCGAAAGCGUGGGUAGCAAACAG